GGUGAAUAUAUUAUUUAGUUUCUCCUUCCAAAGAUCUGCCCCAUGGUUGGAAGUUUAGUACCAGCAGUGGAUUGAGAGGAUGAUGAUGUUGUUGGUGAUGGCCUAGUUGUUGGAAAAAGAACUUCCUGAAUGCUAGGGUUUUUAGAACUCAUGGUGCAAUUCAGCAACAAUAGCUAUAUUUGAAUUUUUGAAAUAAGAGUGAAACAAGUUUGUUUAUGAG